rnacentral:rRNA from 1 species
GACGAACGCUGGCGGCGUGCUUAACACAUGCAAGUCGAACGGAAAGGCCCUGCUUUUGCGGGGUGCUCGAGUGGCGAACGGGUGAGUAACACGUGAGUAACCUGCCCUUGACUUUGGGAUAACUUCAGGAAACUGGGGCUAAUACCGGAUAGGAGCUCCUGCUGCAUGGUGGGGGUUGGAAAGUUUCGGCGGUUGGGGAUGGACUCGCGGCUUAUCAGCUUGUUGGUGGGGUAGUGGCUUACCAAGGCUUUGACGGGUAGCCGGCCUGAGAGGGUGACCGGCCACAUUGGGACUGAGGUACGGCCCAGACUCCUACGGGAGGCAGCGGUGGGGAAUAUUGCGCAAUGGGCGGGCGCCUGAUGCAGCAGCGCCGCGUGCGGGAUGACGGCCUUCGGGUUGUAAACCGCUUUCGCCUGUGACGAAGCGUGAGUGACGGUAAUGGGUAAAGAAGCACCGGCUAACUACGUG